AAGUCGUAACAAGGUAACCGUAGGUGAACCUGCGGUUGGAUCAUUACAAAAUUUGAAUCUCUGGUUGACGCGCAAGUGUCCCAUUGAUUUAUUAACACCGUGUGCACUUUGAUAGUAUUUUGGGUUUGCUUUUAGGAGUAGGCCCAAUAUUAUAAACACCCUUUAAAUAGCCUGAAAUUCUUGUAAAAAGAAAACAACUUUUGACAACGGAUCUCUUGGCUCUC
rnacentral:misc_RNA from 1 species